rnacentral:rRNA from 1 species
UGGGGAAUUUUGGACAAUGGGCGAAAGCCUGAUCCAGCAAUGUCACGUGUGUNAAGAAGGCCUUCGGGUUGUAAAGCACUUUUGUCCGGAAAGAAAUCCUUGGCUCUAAUACAGUCGGGGGAUGACGGUACCGGAAGAAUAAGCACCGGCUAACUACGUGCCAGCAGCCGCGGUAAUACGUAGGGUGCAAGCGUUAAUCGGAAUUACUGGGCGUAAAAGCGUGCGCAGGCGGUUUGCUAAGACCGAUGUGAAAUCCCCGGGCUCAACCUGGGAACUGCAUUGGUGACUGGCAGGCUAGAGUAUGGCAGAGGGGGGUAGAAUUCCACGUGUAGCAGUGAAAUGCGUAGAGAUGUGGAGGAAUACCGAUGGCGAAGCAGCCCCCUGGGCCAAUACUGACGCUCAUGCACGAAAGCGUGGGGAGCAAAACAGGAUUA